rnacentral:rRNA from 1 species
CUUUCCUACGGGAGGCAGCAGUGAGGAAUAUUGGUCAAUGGGCGGAAGCCUGAACCAGCCAAGUCGCGUGAGGGAAUAAGGCUCUACGGGUCGUAAACCUCUUUUGCCGGGGAGCAAGGGCGGGGACGUGUCCAGGCCCGGAGAGUACCCGGAGAAAAAGCAUCGGCUAACUCCGUGCCAGCAGCCGCGGUAAUACGGAGGAUGCGAGCGUUAUCCGGAUUUAUUGGGUUUAAAGGGUGCGUAGGCGGGCUGUUAAGUCAGCGGUAAAAAUUCGGGGCGCAACCCCGUCCGGCCGUUGAAUCUGG